rnacentral:lncRNA from 1 species
CUCUAUUGUUUUUAUCAUGCUAGAAGGCGAUGUUCGAUAUUCCAAAUAUCUUUGAACGUUACAACUUAAUAUAAUUUCAUUGAGGGGUUUGUUAUUAUUGGUCUCAUCUUGUUUAGCGUGCAUGAAAAUAUAUAUAUAAAAUACGCGUCAUAUUAUUAAACAUGCGAAGCAUGUUUGCAUAAUAUAUAAUAUAUAUAAUACUAGCAUGCACAUAUAAAAUACUAUAUUUUACCCGGAUUGAUUAUGGACUUUUAUUCUAGUUUGGUUCACUAGAGCCACCAAGUGAACCAAAAGGUCAAACCCCAGGGUGCAAGAAUAAACAUUUAAAUAUAACUAUUACAUUUAAACCCGAGCUCCAUUAUAAACGAGUCUUCGAGCGCUCCUUUCUCCGUGAUCUCCGGUUCUUCAAAAAAAAUUCUAACUAAUCCUAUUACAUUAAACUAUUUAAUUUAAAUAGAAACCUUGAUCAACAGUCAAGGGGAAGUAGAUAGGAGAGAGAUAGAAUUUACAUCAAGAAGAAAAUCAGAAAAGACGAAGUACGCAGACCUCAUUUAAUAAAACACAUUCAUUCAAACAUCCAACAAAAAUAAAUCCAAUCACAUUGGUCAAUUGUCCAUAAUCAAUCCUAUUUAUUAUCAUACAUAUCAUCAUAUGUAUCAAUAAAUAAAAUCAUUCCAUAUAUAUAUGAAUAUCAUUUAAUGAGCAAUAUCAAGUUGCAUGAAAUCUAGUUUCAAGAUUAAAAUCAACUCUUUAUUUUAAUUAUAAAAUUAUUAAAAUAA